AAGGCGACUUCCUGUUUAGACCUUCCCGUUCCGAGUCCCAAUUAAGUUCAAUUUCAAGUCCAAUAUUAUUUGUUUAUUCACCAGUCUUAAAAGUGGUUCAACUCUUCCAAGAUCAGGUACUCACGGAUAGAUAUUUUAGAUGCCAAAUUGUCCAGGAAAAAGGCAGCGCUCUCCGAUAACGGCAGUGCGGCUUUGCUGCACGGAGGAAGCAGUCGACUCACAGCACCACGCACCUCCCACUCCGGAGCCCGUUACCGGGCUCCUGUACAAGGGAGAGAGCGCUCUCGGUGCCCGCCGAGUCCCACGUCCACAGGCUUCUUCCGCCUGUGGUUUUUGAGGGUCCCCGCUGCGCCGUAGCGGCAGGACCCAAGCCUCCGUGCAGCGGGUUCCCUUCAGUCCGAAGGGAAUUCCGCCAUUUUCCGGAGGCGCCACCCCGGAAGUCC